rnacentral:rRNA from 1 species
UACGUAGGGACCAAGCGUUGUUCGGAUUCACUGGGCGUAAAGGGCGCGUAGGCGGCCAUGUCAGUCGGGCUUGUAAGUGCGGGGCUCACCCCCGUGUUGGGCUCGGGACGGCAUGGCUGGGGCGCGGCAGAGGGAGACGGAAUGCCGGGUGUAGUGGUGAAAUGCGUAGAGAUCCGGCGGAACACCGGUGGCGAAAGCGGUCUCCUGGGCCGAGGGCCGACGCUGAGGCGCGAGAGCGUGGGGAGCGAACCGG